AACGAACGCUGGCGGCAGGCCUAAUACAUGCAAGUCGAACGCUCCAGCAAUGGAGAGUGGCAGACGGGUGAGUAACGCGUGGGAACCUUCCCAGUGGUACGGAAUAGCUCAGGGAAACUUGAGGUAAUACCGUAUACGCCCUUCGGGGGAAAGAUUUAUCGCCAUUGGAUGGGCCCGCGUCGGAUUAGCUAGUUGGUGGGGUAAUGGCCCACCAAGGCGACGAUCCGUAGCUGGUCUGAGAGGAUGAUCAGCCACACUGGGACUGAGACACGGCCCAGACUCCUACGGGAGGCAGCAGUAGGGGAUAUUGGACAAUGGGCGCAAGCCUGAUCCAGCCAUGCCGCGUGAGUGACGAAGGCCUUCGGGUUGUAAAGCUCUUGUGGCGGGGGCGAUAAUGACGGUACCCGCAGAAUAAGCUCCGGCUAACUUCGUGCCAGCAGCCGCCGUAAUAC
rnacentral:rRNA from 1 species